CUGAGGGAUGAAAUCCUUGGGCAGUUGCAGAUUGGGCAGAAAAUGAAUUUGUGAAUGGCCUGCCUGUGGAUUCAGGGA